GUGCUUCCUUUGGCAGCACAUAUACUAAAAUUGGAUCGAUACAGAGAAGGUUAGCAUAGCCCCUGUACAAGGAUGACAUGCAGAUUUGCAAAGUAUUCCAUGUUUUU